UGGGCAACCUGCCCCAGACACAGGGAUAACCCCGGGAAACCGGGGCUAAUACCGGAUACUCCGGUCGAACCGCAUGGCUCGAUCGGGAAAGCUCCGACGGUCUGGGAUGGGCCCGCGGCCUAUCAGCUUGUUGGUGGGGUAACGGCCUACCAAGGCGACGACGGGUAGCUGGUCUGAGAGGACGACCAGCCACACUGGAACUGAGACACGGCCCAGACUCCUACGGGAG
rnacentral:rRNA from 1 species